rnacentral:rRNA from 1 species
UACGGAGGGCGCGAGCGUUACCCGGAUUUACUGGGCGUAAAGGGCGUGUAGGCGGUCUGGGGCGUCCCAUGUGAAGGGCCACGGCUCAACUGUGGAGGAGCGUGGGAUACGCUCAGGCUAGGCGGUGGGAGAGGGUGGUGGAAUUCCCGGAGUAGCGGUGAAAUGCGCAGAUACCGGGAGGAACGCCGAUGGCGAAGGCAGCCACCUGGCUCACUGGUGACGCUGAGGCGCGAAAGCGUGGGGAGCAAACCGG